UACGGAGGGUGCAAGCGUUGUUCGGAAUCACUGGGCGUAAAGGGCGUGUAGGCGGUCCGCUAAGUCUGAUGUGAAAGCCCGAGGCUUACCCUCGGAAGUGCAUUGGAGACUGGCGGACUUGAGUCCCGGAGAGGAGGGUGGAAUUCCUGGUGUAGCGGUGAAAUGCGUAGAUAUCAGGAGGAACACCGGUGGCGAAGGCGGCCCUCUGGACGGUGACUGACGCUGGGACGCGAAAGCGUGGGGAGCAAACAGG
rnacentral:rRNA from 1 species